rnacentral:lncRNA from 1 species
GAGGGAGGAGCUGCCGCGCGCCCGCCACCGCCGCUCGGCUCCACACCGCCAGCGCAGCCCCGCCACGAGACUCUGACAGCCGCGCGGCCCGCGCUGCUCGGGCGCACAGGGACUGACGGACGGCGGCGGUGGCGAGGGAGGACUGAGGACCGCUGCCCCGCGCCUAGUCCGGGAGGCGUGCAGGUCCAGCGGCGGAUAGAGGUCUCCUCUGAAGCAGCUGGAGCUCAGCGGGCCUCAUCACCCCUGAGGAGCAGGCCAGCCAAGAGAGCAGAAAGGGAUGGCGGGAAGCCCACCAGGGCCCGAGGAGUGACCCUCAGCUACAGCUCCUGGGACCUGGAGGCUCCUAGUCGGGGGACUGCACCAUUGGGGAGACUCAAGAAGAAUUGAUAUGUCAGUCCCUGGUGACAUGUACACGGUGUAAUGACAGGAAAUGAGCAGGUUUGCAGAGAAGCUGCUGGCUUGAAAUUUAAGAAGAAGGCAUCGUUGCUUGUGAGUCUGAAUUUUGCUUUCUUAGGACUGUGGCUUGACAAUGUUCCUGGGGAAGUGGGUGGAUUUCCCUGUUCGGGGAAGGGAGCAUGACCUUGAUGGAGUUGGCUUUCAUUCUGCAGGCAGGUGCCUCUGGCUGGGUGGGGCUGGAACCAGGAGGUAAGGCCACCAAGGCACCUGGUUUGAAGCCUCGCUCUCCCCUCUGAGUGGAGAGGGCUUCCACUGGCUCAUGGAAGAGAAUCACCCCCCGCACCGUGGUUGAUGGGUGUGGGGGAGAGCAGGACUCCUCUGGUAUGAGGAUGACGUGCAUUUUUUUACCCUGAGGCCACAAGCAGUGUGUGCAAUUCCAAGUUUGCUGCUAGGGUGACCUUAUUUAGAACAGUAAAUUCUCAUAGAAGCCAUUUAACAGUGUGUUAAACUAGGAGCAAUCACAUGACCCAAUCCAUUUCUCACUCUGAGAAUAUUAUUAAUUCACUGGGUACCUGGCACUAUCUGGGGGCUCUGAGAAAUAGAAGAGAAGCAGCAGGUUCAGGCUCUGUUUUGGAGGAGCUGUUAGUCCAGCGUAGGAAGGGAAGACACCUGCACCAGAGAUCAUGAAAAACUUUAUGAAAGGGCUGGUAGGGCAUAGGCAGAGAUGCUGGUGAGGGACAGGGCUAAGGAAGACUUCCUGGGGAAAGAGACCUGAGCUGGGCUGAUGGAGGAGGGAGGCUGUUUCAGGGAGAAAAGAGCAAGGCAGAGGUACCGGGAUGGGAGCACCUGACAGCCCACAUAGAGGAUGUCAUAGACAUGGGGCUCACUGGGGAGGGAGGAAACACUGGUGACACUGGGCACGGCCUGAUGGU